rnacentral:rRNA from 1 species
GAACUUAAGCAUAUCAAUAAGCGGAGGAAAAGAAACUAACAAGGAUUCCCUUAGUAACGGCGAGUGAAGAGGGAAGAGCUCAAAUUUUGAAUCUGACGCCCUUGGCGUCCGAGUUGUAAUCUAGAGAAGUGUUUUCUGUGGCGGACCAUGCAUAAAUCUCCUGGAACGGAGUGUCAUAGAGGGUGAGAAUCCCGUAUAUGGCAUGGACUCCCGUUACUUUACGAUACACUCUCCACGAGUCGAGUUGUUUGGGAAUGCAGCUCUAAAUGGGUGGUAAAUGCCAUCUAAAGCUAAAUAUUGGCGAGAGACCGAUAGCAAACAAGUACCGUGAGGGAAAGAUGAAAAGCACUUUGGAAAGAGAGUGAAACAGUACGUGAAAUUGUUGAAAGGGAAACGCUUGAAGUCAGUCAUGCCUUUGGGGAUUCAGCCUUGCUUCUGCUUGGUUUACUUCCUCUUGGGUGGGUCAAUGUCAGUUUUGGUCAGAGGAGACAGACUUGGGGAAGGUGGCAGCACUUGUGCUGUGUUAUAGCCCCUUGUUGUAUACUUUGACUGGGACUGAGGACUGCAGCACGCCUUUACGGCCGGGGUUCGCCCACGUACGUGCUUAGGAUGUUGGCGUAAUGGCUUUAAGCGACCCGUCUUGAAACACGGACCAAGGAGUCUAACAUGUGCGCAAGUGUUUGGGUGUUAAACCCAGAUGCGAAAUGAAAGUGAAAGGUUGGGAACAUGUACUUGUGCACCGACGCCCGGAGCGGACCUUUUGUGAUGCAUCUGCGGUAGAGCGCAUAUGUUGGGACCCGAAA